rnacentral:rRNA from 1 species
CCUACGGGGGGCAGCAGUGGGGGAUAUUGCACAAUGGGGGGAACCCUGAUGCAGCGACGCCGCGUGGGUGAAGGAGCGUUUCGGCGCGUAAAGCCCUAUCGGCAGGGAAGAAGGAGGACGGUACCUGACUAAGAAGCCCCGGCUAACUACGUGCCAGCAGCCGCGGUAAUACGUAGGGGGCAAGCGUUAUCCGGAUUUACUGGGUGUAAGGGGGGCGCAGACGGCAGCGCAAGCCAGGAGUGAAAGCCGGGGGCCCAACCCCGGGACUGCUCUUGGAACGGCGCGGCUGGAGUGCAGGAGGGGAAGGGGGAAUUCCUGGGGUAGCGGGGAAAGGCGUAGAUAUCAGGAGGAACACCGGUGGCGAGGGCGGCCUGCUGGACUGCGACUGACGUUGAGGCCCGAAAGCGUGGGGAGCAAACAGGAUUAGAUACCCCAGUAGUC